rnacentral:tRNA from 1 species
AUUUAUGUAAUUUAAAUAAAAAUAACAUCUUUUCAAUAUGUUCAUAAACUUUGUUUCAUAAAUA